GACAGAGGGUGCAAACGUUGUUCGGAAUUACUGGGCGUAAAGCGAGUGUAGGCGGUCUGAAAAAUCGGGUGUGAAAGCCCUGGGCUCAACCCAGGAAGUGCACUCGAAACUGCCAGGCUAGAGUAUCGGAGAGGUUGGUGGAAUUCUCGGUGUAGAGGUGAAAUUCGUAGAUAUCGAGAGGAACACCGGCGGCGAAGGCGGCCAACUGGACGAAUACUGACGCUGAGACUCGAAAGCGUGGGGAGCAAACAGG
rnacentral:rRNA from 1 species